rnacentral:rRNA from 1 species
GUAGUCUGCAACCCGACUACAUGAAGCCGGAAUCGCUAGUAAUCGCGGAUCAGAAUGCCGCGGUGAAUACGUUCCCGGGUCUUGUACACACCGCCCGUCACACCAUGGGAGUCGGAAAUGCCCGAAGCCGGUGACCCAACCCGAAAGGGAGGGAGCCGUCGAAGGCAGGUCGGAUGACUGGGGUGAAGUCGUAACAAGGUAUC